rnacentral:lncRNA from 1 species
CUUAUUAUUUUCAUUUUAUUAAUAAAAAACUACGUUGAUGAUCAUUAUCAUUAUUUUGUGUUUGAGUGCUUAAAUACACCAUCUUUUGAUCCCUUGAUGUACACGCCUCCCAGUUUCUCUUUCUGACUUUUCUAUCAAUAUUUCAGUCUCAGUCUCCUCAAAAAUCUUGGGGCCCCACCCAGGAUUUUUCCUUGCCGGACUCUGUCCAUCUUUUCUGAGAUCUUUCCAUGUCCCUCUCUCAAUCUGUUUCUCUGACUCACUGGCUGAUGUCUUCAGCCGUCUCUCACCGUCUCCAUCUCUGUAAGAGAUGGAGAGGCAGAGAAUGGGAAUCCUGCCCCAAAGGCCAAGGGAGUGCCUUGAGAAUCUAAGAGCUUGAACACUAGGGUCCGAGGGACCCCAGGGAAAAGAUCUAGAAAGCUGGAGGCCUGGAUCGAAUUCCGUUCCUGGUGGAUGAAGCAUCCUGUAGCCAUCUCUCUCUGGUUGGACAACAAACCAGUCUUCUGAAGUCUUGGCUUCAUGAGAAAGAAGCUGGAAGUGAGACUUGGGAUGACUCAGGUGAUCUGCCCACCUCGGCCUCCCAAAGUGCUGGGAGUACGGGCAUGAGUCAUCGCACCCGGCCGGAUCGUGAUUGAGUGUGUUACCUCCACAGGUGUUAAAAAUA